UACGGGGGGGGCAAGCGUUGUUCGGAAUUAUUGGGCGUAAAGGGCGCGUAGGCGGUUUGCUACGUUGGAUGUGAAAACUCUGGGCUUAACCCAGAGCCUGCAUCCAAAACUGGCAAACUUGAGUACUGGAGGGGAAAGCGGAAUUCCUGGUGUAGCGGUGAAAUGCGUAGAUAUCAGGAGGAACACCGGUGGCGAAGGCGGCUUUCUGGACAGAAACUGACGCUGAGGCGCGAAAGCUAGGGGAGCAAACAGG
rnacentral:rRNA from 1 species